GAGUUUGAUCCUGGCUCAGGACGAACGCUGGCGGCGUGCCUAAUACAUGCAAGUAGAACGCUGAAGGAGGAGCUUGCUUCUUUGGAUGAGUUGCGAACGGGUGAGUAACGCGUAGGUAACCUGCCUGGUAGCGGGGGAUAACUAUUGGAAACGAUAGCUAAUACCGCAUAAGAGUAGAUGUUGCAUGACAUUUGCUUAAAAGGUGCACUUGCAUCACUACCAGAUGGACCUGCGUUGUAUUAGCUAGUUGGUGGGGUAACGGCUCACCAAGGCGACGAUACAUAGCCGACCUGAGAGGGUGAUCGGCCACACUGGGACUGAGACACGGCCCAGACUCCUACGGGAGGCAGCAGUAGGGAAUCUUCGGCAAUGGACGGAAGUCUGACCGAGCAACGCCGCGUGAGUGAAGAAGGUUUUCGGAUCGUAAAGCUCUGUUGUAAGAGAAGAACGAGUGUGAGAGUGGAAAGUUCACACUGUGACGGUAUCUUACCAGAAAGGGACGGCUAACUACGUGCCAGCAGCCGCGGUAAUACGUAGGUCCCGAGCGUUGUCCGGAUUUAUUGGGCGUAAAGCGAGCGCAGGCGGUUAGAUAAGUCUGAAGUUAAAGGCUGUGGCUUAACCAUAGUAGGCUUUGGAAACUGUUUAACUUGAGUGCAAGAGGGGAGAGUGGAAUUCCAUGUGUAGCGGUGAAAUGCGUAGAUAUAUGGAGGAACACCGGUGGCGAAAGCGGCUCUCUGGCUUGUAACUGACGCUGAGGCUCGAAAGCGUGGGGAGCAAACAGGAUUAGAUACCCUGGUAGUCCACGCUGUAAACGAUGAGUGCUAGGUGUUAGACCCUUUCCGGGGUUUAGUGCCGUAGCUAACGCAUUAAGCACUCCGCCUGGGGAGUACGACCGCAAGGUUGAAACUCAAAGGAAUUGACGGGGGCCCGCACAAGCGGUGGAGCAUGUGGUUUAAUUCGAAGCAACGCGAAGAACCUUACCAGGUCUUGACAUCCCUCUGACCGCUCUAGAGAUAGAGUUUUCCUUCGGGACAGAGGUGACAGGUGGUGCAUGGUUGUCGUCAGCUCGUGUCGUGAGAUGUUGGGUUAAGUCCCGCAACGAGCGCAACCCUAUUGUUAGUUGCCAUCAUUUAGUUGGGCACUCUAGCGAGACUGCCGGUAAUAAACCGGAGGAAGGUGGGGAUGACGUCAAAUCAUCAUGCCCCUUAUGACCUGGGCUACACACGUGCUACAAUGGCUGGUACAACGAGUCGCAAGCCGUGACAGCAAGCUAAUCUCUUAAAGCCAGUCUCAGUUCGGAUUGUAGGCUGCAACUCGCCUACAUGAAGUCGGAAUCGCUAGUAAUCGCGGAUCAGCACGCCGCGGUGAAUACGUUCCCGGGCCUUGUACACACCGCCCGUCACACCACGAGAGUUUGUAACACCCGAAGUCGGUGAGGUAACCGUAAGGAGCCAGCCGCCUAAGGUGGGAUAGAUGAUUGGGGUGAAGUCGUAACAAGGUAGCCGUAUCGGAAGGUGCGGCUGGAUCACC
rnacentral:rRNA from 1 species